ACGUAGGUGGCAAGCGUUGUCCGGAAUUAUUGGGCGUAAAGCGCGCGCAGGCGGUCCUUUAAGUCUGAUGUGAAAGCCCACGGCUCAACCGUGGAGGGUCAUUGGAAACUGGGGGACUUGAGUGCAGAAGAGGAAAGUGGAAUUCCCGGUGUAGCGGUGAAAUGCGUAGAGAUCGGGAGGAACACCGAUGGCGAAGGCAGGUCUCUGGGCUGACACUGACGCUCAUGCACGAAAGCGUGGGGAGCAAACAGGA
rnacentral:rRNA from 1 species